rnacentral:snRNA from 1 species
AUACUUACCUGACUGGGAAGUAAAUUCGAUCCACAAGGGGCUUCUUCCAGAGUGAGGCUUGUGCAUUGCACUUCGCACCGGCUGACCUCUGCGAUUACCGCUAACGUCGGUAACUCGACAGUAUAAUUUCUGGUAGUGGAAGCCUGCGUUCGCGCUCGCUUCCU